UACAGAGACUGCAAGCGUUUAGUUCGAUUCACUGGGCGUAAAGGGUGCGCAGGCGGCCGUGUGUGUGAGGUGUGAAAGCCUGGGGCUUAACCCCAGAAAUGCGCCUCAAACUACAUGGCUAGAGCAUUGGAGAGGGUAGCAGAAUUCAUGGUGUAGCAGUGAAAUGCGUAGAGAUGUGGAGGAACACCGGAUGGCGAAAGGCAGCCCCCCUGGGGUCAAGAUUGACGCUCAUGCACGAAAGCGUGGGGAGCAAACAGG
rnacentral:rRNA from 1 species